CAGAUAUUUAAUCCAAACUCGAUCUCUGUUCUCUUCCUGUUAUGGGAGAAAUCCUCUUCGUUAAGGCCCGAGAAGACGCUAUUAAAAAGAUAGCGGAUGUCAGACAAGUCCUGCUUCCUCAAGGUAAGAAAUCCAGGAGACCUUUUGCAGGAUUAUCAUUCAGAGAUCAGCCUUCCUAUAAAGACAAAGUCUUACAGAACUGGCCGUAAA